rnacentral:rRNA from 1 species
CUUGCAACCUUUGAUGGCGACCGGCGCACGGGUGAGUAACACGUAUCCAACCUACUCCUUACAACGGAAUAACCCGGCGAAAGUCGGACUAAUACCGUAUGAUAUCCUAUGCAGGCAUCUAACUAGGGUUAAAGGUUUAGCGGUAAGGGAUGGGGAUGCGUCUGAUUAGGCAGUUGGCGGGGUAACGGCCCACCAAACCGACGAUCAGUAGGGGUUCUGAGAGGAAGGUCCCCCACAUUGGAACUGAGACACGGUCCAAACUCCUACGGGAGGCAGCAGUC